AANGGCUUUAACAGGAUGGGCCAUGNCGGNCGNNAAUNAGGAUAGUNGGGGGGGGGUNAAGGGCCCACCAAGGGNGAACGAAGNGNAGCCGACNNGAGAGGGUGNUCGGCCACANUGGGAGNGAGACANGGCCCAGACUCCAACGGGAGGCAGCAGUAGGGAAUNUUCCGCAAUGNGANNAAGCCUGACGGAGCAACGCCGCGUGAGUGAUGAAGGUUUUCGGAUUCGUAAAGCUCUGUUGCCAAGGCAAGAACGCCUCGGAGAGUAACUGCUCUGAGGGUGACGGUACUUGAGAAGAAAGCCCCGGCUAACUACGUGCCAGCAGCCGCGGUAAUACGUAGGGGGCAAGCGUUGUCCGGAAUUAUUGGGCGUAAAGCGCGCGCAGGCGGUCUUUUAAGUUUGGUGUUUAAGCCCGGGGCUCAACCCCGGUUCGCACUGAAAACUGGGAGACU
rnacentral:rRNA from 1 species